rnacentral:rRNA from 1 species
UGAGGAAUAUUGGGCAAUGCCCGCAAGGGUGACCCAGCAACGCCGCGUGGAGGAUGAAUGUCGUGAGAUUGUAAACUCCUGUUAGAGGGGAAGAAUAGUACCGGUUGGACCGGUAUAUGACUGUACCCUCAGAGAAAGCCCCGGCUAACUACGUGCCAGCAGCCGCGGUAAUACGUAGGGGGCAAGCGUUGUCCGGAUUUACUGGGUGUAAAGGGCGCGCAGGCGGGAUAAAAAGUCAGUGGUGAAAUCCUACAGCUUAACUGUAGAACUGCCUUUGAUACUUUUAUUCUUGAGUUCGGGAGAGAGAGACGGAAUUCCAGGUGUAGUGGUGAAAUACGUAGAUAUCUGGAAGAACACCAGUUGCGAAGGCGGUCUCUUGGUCCGACACUGACGCUGAGGCGCGAAAGCGUGGGGAGCAAACA